GACGAACGCUGGCGGCGUGCUUAACACAUGCCAGUCGAACGGAAAGGCCCUGCUUUUGUGGGGUGCUCGAGUGGCGAACGGGUGAGUAACACGUGAGUAACCUGCCCUUGACUUUGGGAUAACUUCAGGAAACUGGGGCUAAUACCGGAUAGGAGCUCCUGCUGCAUGGUGGGGGUUGGAAAGUUUCGGCGGUUGGGGAUGGACUCGCGGCUUAUCAGCUUGUUGGUGGGGUAGUGGCUUACCAAGGCUUUGACGGGUAGCCGGCCUGAGAGGGUGACCGGCCACAUUGGGACUGAGAUACGGCCCAGCCUCCUACGGGAGGCAGCAGUGGGGAAUAUUGCACAAUGGGCGGAAGCCUGAUGCAGCAACGCCGCGUGCGGGAUGACGGCCUUCGGGUUGUAAACCGCUUUCGCCUGUGACGAAGCGUGAGUGACGGUAAUGGGUAAAGAAGCACCGGCUAACUCCGUG
rnacentral:rRNA from 1 species